UUUUGUGUUUUUGGCGGCAAAGCGUUUACCAAGUAAUAAAACACAAUAUAAUAUUUUUAACAAUGGCUCAAGUGUUAUGCAGCUCCAAACCGCAAAUUUUUUUAGUUGGUGAUAUAAAUCAUCAAAUUGUUGGCGAAAACUUCCGUCGAAUCGCCAAGUGCUUGCGGUUCUGUUCUACAAUACGCGUGAAGUAAAAAUGACAACAAAUGAAAGUGCUAAUCUGGCGCUUCGCGAAUGCAUUAUCUUUUGGGAAAAAGCAAGAAUACCCACAAAAUCUUUGCCUAACUGUGUAAAGAAGCUACUAUGCUUACAUCAAGCUUGGAGAGACCUUCAAAAAGAUGCUAAAAAAGUAUCAGAGAUCCCGUCGAGAGAAUUUUGUUCAAACUUUGGACAAUUUGUUUGAUAUUGCCCAUUCCGAAGCAAUGGAAAUAAUGGAAAUGGAAAGUUCCUCGGCUGUGAAAGCACCGUAUCAGGAUUUAUGUUUUUUAAAAUCCUUGAACGAAUAUGAAACUAUUGAUGAAGCUAUUGCAAAAGCAGCUUUAAAGAAAUUUUGUCAUCAUUUAUGGUAUCUACAUGAUGAAAUAUCGGUACUCUCACUUUUUGAUGAAGACGUUACAUUUGAUGUAAAGGAAAGAAUGGUCACAAAUUUGACUAAACAAAAUAGAACCAGCUUAGAAAAACGAUAUGUACCAUCGAUGGAAGAUCUUAACGGUGCACUUUUUGACAAACAUAUGGACGAUUUUAUAUCUAUAAAAGUAGGACAUCAUUUGAUCGCCUUAAAAUUUAUGACAGACCACAGUCUGUCCCUUCAUCAUGGAACAGUAACCCAUCUUACUUAAAAAGCAAGAAGAGUCUUUCAUUACCUAAGGCAGUAAAUGAUACAGCAGAAAGAGCUGUGAAAUUGAUGCAAAACUUUCACGGGCGUCUAACAGUGGAUGAGGAACAAAAACAGUUUUUGUUACGUUGCGUUCAGGAACAUAGAAAAAUGUACCCGGAUUGUAAAAAGGAGACUUUAAAAAGAAAAUAUUCCCAAUAAAAUGUUAGAACUGAUUUAAA